UGCGCAGCACGUGUCUUUUUCCUCCGCCCUUUUAAAAAUCAACGCAAGAUGCGGAAUGCCAGUGGGGCCGCAGCGGCGAGUCACAGAGAAGUAAAGUCCAUCCCAGCAGGAUCAAGAAACUACUCCUGAACAGGACUCCAUUGCUCCACAGGGCACGGGUGGAUGUCGACUUUUGUCAAAAUUCAGGGGUAGAGGACGGUAAUCAGCUUGUAAAGGGCCACAAAACUCGC